AUGUGCCCGGCGAGGAUUUCUGUGCUGCGCCUCAGCAUUCUCCCUCUCUCCCUCUGCUUCCUUCCUCCCUGCUCAGCGUGCUCGCUCUCGCCCCCGCACCACUUCCCUUCGUGCAUCUCACCGGCGACCAUGGCCAAGGAGAAGACGGCGGCGCUGGAGCGUGCCAAGAAGGCGUCGGCAUCGGAGAAGGCGAAGGGGAGAUCCACCAGCCGCAGAGGGUCCUCGUCCAGAUCCCGCCUGCCGAAAGGCUGGGUCCAAGGAGACUGGAUCCAGUCGACCAACACGGAGAAGGACCUCCUCGACAUGGCCAACGAGGGCUUGAUCCCUCACGGAGCUGCGAGGUUGCCGGGGAAGGAGUGGCAGCCACAGCCAGAAGAGGGUGAGUGUGUGCUUCUGGCCACUCAUGUUGAUCGUGGGUUUUCCUUGCCGCCAAGCAUUUUCUUCCGUGGCUUCUUGAAUUUCUUUGGAGCGCAGCUCCACCACUUUACCCCAAACUCCAUUGCCUAUCUUGCUGCAUUCGUGUCCAUGUGUGAGGGUUUCUUGGGCUGUCGACCGCACUGGGGUUUGUUCAAACGUAUCUUCACGUGUCGCUCUCAGACAGUGAAGAAGGCGAGCCCAGGUGAUGAGAAGACCCGAGUCGUCCAAAUGUGUGGGGGCCUGGGGAUUCAGGUGAGGAAUAAUAGCACCUUCCCGCCCAUGUCCUUUCCCGAGUCCGUCAGAGGCUGGCAGUCGACUUGGUUCUACUGUCAGGUCCAGUCGACGCCAGGGCAGUCGAGUGGACUCCCUCCGUUUACCAUGGACCGAGUGAACAAGCCCUCCCCUCUGAAGCUGAUUCCGGAGGAGAAAGCCGACGUGAAGAUGUUGAUGGAGCGCGUGGUGCAGUUGGUUCGGGAGGGGGUGACGGGCAUGGAUCUUCUGGAGGUCUUCCUCAGGCGUCGCAUCCAACCCCUUCAAUUCCGGAGCCACUGCAUGUGGUUGUACUGUGGGCCCGAAGACGAGACUAGAGUCCAUCCAGAAGAAGUCGACGAUGCCACUCUGGAAAGAUGGAUGGUAGCCGUUACCGGAAACAGGGACAACCCGCGCGGAGCCAGAAGGAUUCCUCCACUCGACCACAACAGCGACCCAAACAAGGCCUUCACCGAGCUGUACUCGAUGCCCAAUGGGGCACAAGCUUCGACUGAGGAAGGCGAGGCGAGCGGGGGUGAGGCGAGCGGGGGCGAGAGCCAGGAAGAGGAGGAAUGGGACUCGGAUGCUGCAGGGGAUGAUGACGACGAUGAUGAUGAUGAAGGUGAUGAAGAUGACAUUGAGGACGAGGAAGAAGAGGAGGAGGAGGUCGUUCCACCGCGCUCAGAAAGGCGGUCGAAGCUUGUCCACGACCCUUCGACCGAACGUGGUAAGGGGGUUGCGACCGCCACUCAGUCGACCAAGCGCCCUCGGACCACCUCUCCGGCGCCGACUGAAAAGGCGCCGAAGCAGCCCAGGGCGGCCUCAUCGAAGCCGACCAAGCUCCUGCGAAGAUGA
rnacentral:rRNA from 1 species